GACGAACGCUGGCGGCGUGCUUAACACAUGCAAGUCGAACGGUAAGGCCCUUCGGGGUACACGAGUGGCGAACGGGUGAGUAACACGUGAGUGAUCUGCCCUGCACUUCGGGAUAAGCCUGGGAAACUGGGUCUAAUACCGGAUAGGACCCUGGGAUGCAUGUCCUGGGGUGGAAAGCUUUUGCGGGGUGGGAUGGGCCCGCGGCCUAUCAGCUUGUUGGUGGGGUGAUGGCCUACCAAGGCGACGACGGGUAGCCGGCCUGAGAGGGUGACCGGCCACACUGGGACUGAGAUACGGCCCAGACUCCUACGGGAGGCAGCAGUGGGGAAUAUUGCACAAUGGGCGCAAGCCUGAUGCAGCGACGCCGCGUGAGGGAUGACGGCCUUCGGGUUGUAAACCUCUUUCAGCACCGACGAAGCGCAAGUGACGGUAGGUGCAGAAGAAGGACCGGCCAACUACGUGCCAGCCGCCGCGGUAA
rnacentral:rRNA from 1 species